GGUUAAGCGACUAAGCGUACACGGUGGAUGCCCUGGCAGUCAGAGGCGAUGAAGGACGUGCUAAUCUGCGAUAAGCGUCGGUGAGGUGAUAUGAACCGUUAUAACCGGCGAUUUCCGAAUGGGGAAACCCAGUGUGUUUCGACACACUAUCAUUAACUGAAUCCAUAGGUUAAUGAGGCGAACCGGGGGAACUGAAACAUCUAAGUACCCCGAGGAAAAGAAAUCAACCGAGAUUCCCCCAGUAGCGGCGAGCGAACGGGGAGGAGCCCAGAGCCUGAAUCAGUGUGUGUGUUAGUGGAAGCGUCUGGAAAGGCGCGCGAUACAGGGUGACAGCCCCGUACACAAAAAUGCACAUAUUGUGAGCUCGAUGAGUAGGGCGGGACACGUGGUAUCCUGUCUGAAUAUGGGGGGACCAUCCUCCAAGGCUAAAUACUCCUGACUGACCGAUAGUGAACCAGUACCGUGAGGGAAAGGCGAAAAGAACCCCGGCGAGGGGAGUGAAAAAGAACCUGAAACCGUGUACGUACAAGCAGUGGGAGCCUCUUAAUGGGGUGACUGCGUACCUUUUGUAUAAUGGGUCAGCGACUUAUAUUCUGUAGCAAGGUUAACCGAAUAGGGGAGCCGAAGGGAAACCGAGUCUUAACUGGGCGUUAAGUUGCAGGGUAUAGACCCGAAACCCGGUGAUCUAGCCAUGGGCAGGUUGAAGGUUGGGUAACACUAACUGGAGGACCGAACCGACUAAUGUUGAAAAAUUAGCGGAUGACUUGUGGCUGGGGGUGAAAGGCCAAUCAAACCGGGAGAUAGCUGGUUCUCCCCGAAAGCUAUUUAGGUAGCGCCUCGUGAAUUCAUCUCCGGGGGUAGAGCACUGUUUCGGCAAGGGGGUCAUCCCGACUUACCAACCCGAUGCAAACUGCGAAUACCGGAGAAUGUUAUCACGGGAGACACACGGCGGGUGCUAACGUCCGUCGUGAAGAGGGAAACAACCCAGACCGCCAGCUAAGGUCCCAAAGUCAUGGUUAAGUGGGAAACGAUGUGGGAAGGCCCAGACAGCCAGGAUGUUGGCUUAGAAGCAGCCAUCAUUUAAAGAAAGCGUAAUAGCUCACUGGUCGAGUCGGCCUGCGCGGAAGAUGUAACGGGGCUAAACCAUGCACCGAAGCUGCGGCAGCGACACUAUGUGUUGUUGGGUAGGGGAGCGUUCUGUAAGCCUGUGAAGGUGUACUGUGAGGUAUGCUGGAGGUAUCAGAAGUGCGAAUGCUGACAUAAGUAACGAUAAAGCGGGUGAAAAGCCCGCUCGCCGGAAGACCAAGGGUUCCUGUCCAACGUUAAUCGGGGCAGGGUGAGUCGACCCUAAGGCGAGGCCGAAAGGCGUAGUCGAUGGGAAACAGGUUAAUAUUCCUGUACUUGGUGUUACUGCGAAGGGGGGACGGAGAAGGCUAUGUUGGCCGGGCGACGGUUGUCCCGGUUUAAGCGUGUAGGCUGGUUUUCCAGGCAAAUCCGGAAAAUCAAGGCUGAGGCGUGAUGACGAGGCACUACGGUGCUGAAGCGACAAAUGCCCUGCUUCCAGGAAAAGCCUCUAAGCAUCAGGUAACAUCAAAUCGUACCCCAAACCGACACAGGUGGUCAGGUAGAGAAUACCAAGGCGCUUGAGAGAACUCGGGUGAAGGAACUAGGCAAAAUGGUGCCGUAACUUCGGGAGAAGGCACGCUGAUAUGUAGGUGAAGCGACUUGCUCGUGGAGCUGAAAUCAGUCGAAGAUACCAGCUGGCUGCAACUGUUUAUUAAAAACACAGCACUGUGCAAACACGAAAGUGGACGUAUACGGUGUGACGCCUGCCCGGUGCCGGAAGGUUAAUUGAUGGGGUUAGCGGUAACGCGAAGCUCUUGAUCGAAGCCCCGGUAAACGGCGGCCGUAACUAUAACGGUCCUAAGGUAGCGAAAUUCCUUGUCGGGUAAGUUCCGACCUGCACGAAUGGCGUAAUGAUGGCCAGGCUGUCUCCACCCGAGACUCAGUGAAAUUGAACUCGCUGUGAAGAUGCAGUGUACCCGCGGCAAGACGGAAAGACCCCGUGAACCUUUACUAUAGCUUGACACUGAACAUUGAGCCUUGAUGUGUAGGAUAGGUGGGAGGCUUUGAAGUGUGGACGCCAGUCUGCAUGGAGCCGACCUUGAAAUACCACCCUUUAAUGUUUGAUGUUCUAACGUGGGCCCCUUACCGGGGUUGCGGACAGUGUCUGGUGGGUAGUUUGACUGGGGCGGUCUCCUCCUAAAGAGUAACGGAGGAGCACGAAGGUUGGCUAAUCCUGGUCGGACAUCAGGAGGUUAGUGCAAUGGCAUAAGCCAGCUUGACUGCGAGCGUGACGGCGCGAGCAGGUGCGAAAGCAGGUCAUAGUGAUCCGGUGGUUCUGAAUGGAAGGGCCAUCGCUCAACGGAUAAAAGGUACUCCGGGGAUAACAGGCUGAUACCGCCCAAGAGUUCAUAUCGACGGCGGUGUUUGGCACCUCGAUGUCGGCUCAUCACAUCCUGGGGCUGAAGUAGGUCCCAAGGGUAUGGCUGUUCGCCAUUUAAAGUGGUACGCGAGCUGGGUUUAGAACGUCGUGAGACAGUUCGGUCCCUAUCUGCCGUGGGCGCUGGAGAACUGAGGGGGGCUGCUCCUAGUACGAGAGGACCGGAGUGGACGCAUCACUGGUGUUCGGGUUGUCAUGCCAAUGGCACUGCCCGGUAGCUAAAUGCGGAAGAGAUAAGUGCUGAAAGCAUCUAAGCACGAAACUUGCCCCGAGAUGAGUUCUCCCUGACUCCUUGAGAGUCCUGAAGGAACGUUGAAGACGACGACGUUGAUAGGCCGGGUGUGUAAGCGCAGCGAUGCGUUGAGCUAACCGGUACUAAUGAACCGUGAGGCUUAACCUUACAACGCCGAAGAUGUUUUG
rnacentral:rRNA from 1 species